rnacentral:rRNA from 1 species
AAUGAGAUGAUUAAGAGUUAUUUAAUGGAGGUACAGCUCCAUUAAAAAAGGACACAACCUCGACUAGCGGAUAAAUCCUACACUAAACCUACUGUGGGCCUUAAAGCAGCCAUCAACAAAGAGUGCGUCAAAGCUCCACCACCCAAAGAUACCAAAACAAGAUGAAUCCCUUAUCAGAAACAGGUCAACCUAUGAAUAUAGGAGAAUUAAUGCUAAAAUAAGUAACUCGGGGCCACAUCAACCCCUCUAACGGCGCAAGCUUACAUGAGGACAUUAUUAACAGACCUAGACAUAUACAAAAACUCCUACAAGACCAGGUAUAAGCUUACACUGUUAACCCGACUCAGGAGCGCCUAUAAGAGCGAUUAAAAUCUGUGAAAGGAACUCGGCAAAACCACGGGCCCGACUGUUUACCAAAAACAUAGCCUUCAGCAAAUCAAGCAAGUAUUGAAGGUGAUGCCUGCCCAGUGACCCAGGUUAAAAGGCCGCGGUAUCCUAACCGUGCAAAGGUAGCGCAAUCAAUUGUCCCAUAAAUCGAGACUUGUAUGAAUGGCUAAACGAGGUCCUAACUGUCUCUCACAGAUAAUCAGUGAAAUUGAUCUCCCCGUACAAAAGCGGGGAUGUGAACAUAAGACGAGAAGACCCUGUGGAACUUAAAAAUCAACGGCCACCGCGAACCUACAAACCAACCCCACUGGGCCACUACUAAUCGCAAGGCAUGGCCGACAUUUUUCGGUUGGGGCGACCUUGGAGAAAAACAGACCCUCCAAAAACAAGACCACACCUCUUUACUUAGAGCCACCCCUCAAAGUGCUAAUAGCGACCAGACCCAAUAUAAUUGAUUAAUGGACCAAGCUACCCCAGGGAUAACAGCGCAAUCCCCCUCAAGAGCCCCUAUCGACGAGGAGGUUUACGACCUCGAUGUUGGAUCAGGACAUCCUAGUGGUGCAGCCGCUACUAAGGGUUCGUUUGUUCAACGAUUAAUAGUCCUACGUGAUCUGAGUUCAGACCGGAGCAAUCCAGGUCGGUUUCUAUCUAUGAACCACUCUCCCCAGUACGAAAGGACCGGGAAAGUAAGGCCAAUACUACAUGCACGCCUUCCCUCUAAAUAGUGAAACCAACUGAACUGUGAAGAGGAUCUCUCCCACCACCCCAAUCCUAGAAAAGGACCAGCUAGAGUGGCAGAGCUCGGCAAAUGCAA